GAGGGUAUAGCUCAAGCAGUAGAGCGCAUGCCUAGCAUGUGCAAGGUCCUGGGUUCAAUCCCCAGCACCUCCU
rnacentral:tRNA from 1 species